UACGUAGGGGGCAAGCGUUGUCCGGAUUCAUUGGGCGUAAAGAGCGUGUAGGCGGCCAGGUAGGUCGGUUGUGAAAACUGGAGGCUCAACCUUCAGAGGUCGACCGAAACCAUCUGGCUAGAGUCCGGGAGAGGAGAGUGGAAUUCCUGGUGUAGCGGUGAAAUGCGCAGAUAUCAGGAAGAACACCCGUGGCGAAAGCGGCUCUCUGGAACGGUACUGGACGCUGAAGACGCGAAAGCGUGGGGAGCGAACAGG
rnacentral:rRNA from 1 species